AAAAGAAACUAACAAGGAUUCCCCUAGUAACGGCGAGUGAACCGGGAAGAGCUCAAAUUUGAAAUCUGGCAGUCUUCGAUUGUCCGAGUUGUAAUCUAUAGAAGCGUUUUCCGUGCUGAACUGUGUAUAAGUCCCUUGGAACAGGGUAUCAAAGAGGGUGACAAUCCCGUACUUUACACAAUCAUCAGUGCUCUGUGAUACGUUCUCUACGAGUCGAGUUGUUUGGGAAUGCAGCUCAAAAUGGGUGGUAAAUUCCAUCUAAAGCUAAAUAUUGGCGAGAGACCGAUAGCGAACAAGUACCGUGAGGGAAAGAUGAAAAGCACUUUGGAAAGAGAGUUAAACAGUACGUGAAAUUGUUGAAAGGGAAACGAAAUUCAUGAAUCAUGUUUAUUGGACUCAGCCGUUCUUCGGUGUACUUCCUUUAAACGGGUCAACAUCAGUUUUGUCCGAUGGAUAAAGGUAGUAGGAAGGUGGCUCUCUCGGGAGUGUUAUAGCCUAUUGCUGCAUACAUUGGAUGAGACUGAGGACUGCAGC
rnacentral:rRNA from 1 species